GUUCACGAGCGCGGCCUCACGGGCCUGGCCGGCCGCGCAGCAACCCGAACUCGAUUCCCGGGUGCUUCCAGAGCAGAACGGGCCUCAGCGCACUCGCUGAGGCAAGACUCGACC
rnacentral:ncRNA from 2 species